rnacentral:lncRNA from 1 species
CCCAUAUCUUGGGCAGUAGGACUUUGCGGCUCUCCCCCCAAGGCCAGGGAGCCCCGGGUCCCAGGUCCCCCUGAAGACUCUCUCGCUUUUCCCACAGACACUGGAGAGCAGCGUCCUGUGCCAGGAGAAGGGCUUGGGCACGCGGGACCUGGCCCAGGAUGCUCAGACCACCAGCCUGCCUGCCCGCAUCAGGGAGAUUGUCACCCACAACCUCUCCCGGCCUGACAGCCCAGGGACCUGCUGCAGCUGGGAGGGGAGCUGGCCCAGACAUCAUGAGCUGUCCAGGAGGCAGGCCUGGGACUGAUCACGGACCUGCGGCUGGCAGAGAGCCGGACCGAGGCAGCCCUGGAGAAGCAGGCCCAGCUAGAGGAGCAGCUGCAGGACAAGAUGCUCCACGAGAAGGACCUGGCCCAGCAGCAGAUGCAAAGUGACCUGGAUGAGGCUGACCUCAGUGCCACGUGGGUACCUGGUGGGUGCUGCAUAAGGCAGGCGUCCCUGCAGAAGGUGAAACUGGAGGGUUGGGGAGAAGGGAGCAUCUGUUCACUAGGCACAGGGCCUUCCUCUGUGAGCUCAGCCAGUCUUCCCAGGCACCCCACUGAGGUUCCGAAGGCACUUGCCCGGUGUAUAUCAUAAACAGCUUAGCCUCUGAUGACAGAACCUGUGGCCGGGUGUGGUGGCUCACACCUGUAAUUCCAGCACUUUGGGAGGCCAAGGUAGGGGGAUUACCUGAGGUCAGGAGCUCAAGACCAGUCUGCCCAACAGGCGAAAGCCUGUCUCUACUAAAAUACAAAAACUAGCCAGGUGUGGUGGUGCGUGUUUAUAAUCCCAGCUAUGAGGGAGGCUGAGACAGGAGAAUCACUUGAACCCAGGAUGUGGAGGUUGCAGUGAGUGAAGAUCACAUCACUGUAUUCCAGCCUGGAUGACAGAGCAAAACUCCUUCUGAAAAAAAUAAAACAAAAAAACUUGUGCCCCUUACUUCUGCCACCUGGAUACGUCCUCAAGUGCUUUCCCAUGAGAUAAAGCUGGUGGGAACCUCAUUCCCGUUUCACAGAUGAGAAGCGUGAGGUCUAGAGAGGAGCCGGGACUUGCCUAAGGUCACACAGCCAGGGAGGUGGAUGUUAGGGUCCCUGCCUCGGGUUUGAAGAAGCAUGGUGGACACAGAGCUAGUGGAUUUGAGAGGCAGUGGUGGUCCCCUAUUCACCUCUGUUGCUCCCCCAACUCCAGAGUGACAGAGCUGGGCCUGGCAGUGGAGCGUCUUCAGAAGCAGAAUCUGGAGAAGGAUCAGGUCAACAAGGACCUCACCGAGAAGCUUGAGGCCCUGGUGAGCUGUAGCUGCCCCUGAGAUGUGGUAGGGUGGGAUGGGGUACCGGCCAG